ACUCCUACGGGAGGCAGCAGUGGGGAAUAUUGCACAAUGGGCGCAAGCCUGAUGCAGCCAUGCCGCGUGUAUGAAGAAGGCCUUCGGGUUGUAAAGUACUUUCAGCAGUGAGGAAGGUGGAUAUGUUAAUAGUCAUAUUCAUUGAUCGAUUGAUGCUGCAGAAGAAGCACCGGCUAACUCCGUGCCAGCAGCCGCGGUAAUACGGAGGGUGCGAGCGUUAAUCGGAAUUACUGGGCGUAAAGCGCAUGCAGGUGGUUUGUUAAGUCAGAUGUGAAAGCCCGGGGCUCAACCUCGGAAUUGCAUUUGAAACUGGCAAACUAGAGUACUGUAGAGGGGGGUAGUAA
rnacentral:rRNA from 1 species